AUCGGUACAAUCAAUAUUGUGUGUGCAAUGCAUUUAUAUCAGCAUAUUGAUGCUGCAUUUAUGCCUGUGAGACUCGGAUUUAAUCUCAGUUUAUGCAAUUGUAUGGUAUGUCAGUCAAUAAACUUAUUAAAAACUCAUAAAAUCAGUUAAAACUGUUAUGAGCACUGGAUCUAUUUUGUACGUGCGCGGAGUAUUAUGCAACAUUGACGCAAUAACACAUCACCCUCAGGCGUCCCUUACCCCGAGGGAACAAAGAGAGGUCAGUCAGAGGUCAGUGUGCUGGUCAGUAACGACGCAACCGUUCUUUUUUUGUAAAAGUGCCUUUGUUCUUUCAUUAAAGUUCUUGUUAAUACAAAUCCUGUG
rnacentral:lncRNA from 1 species